rnacentral:rRNA from 1 species
AUGGCCAACAGCAACCUUCCUCGACGAAUCAUCAAGGAGACGCAGAGACUUCUCAGCGAGCCAGCACCGGGGAUCAGCGCUUCGCCCUCGGAGGAGAACAUGCGGUACUUCAACGUCAUGAUCCUUGGUCCGGCGCAGUCACCCUACGAAGGGGGAGUUUUUAAGCUGGAACUCUUUUUACCCGAGGAAUAUCCGAUGGCUGCCCCAAAGGUUAGGUUUCUGACCAAAAUAUACCAUCCCAACAUUGACAAGCUUGGUAGGAUAUGCCUUGACAUUCUCAAGGAUAAAUGGAGUCCGGCUCUUCAGAUUCGAACAGUUCUUUUGAGUAUCCAGGCACUCCUAAGUGCACCAAAUCCAGAUGACCCUCUCUCUGAAAACAUUGCUAAGCACUGGAAGUCCAAUGAGGCAGAAGCUGUUGAAACAGCGAAGGAGUGGACUCGUCUGUAUGCCAGUGGUGCAUGA